rnacentral:lncRNA from 1 species
UAUUAUUAUUAUUAUUUAAUUGUACAUGUUAACUCAAUUAUUUUUAAGUUUUUAGUAAAAAAAAUUACCAUUUUCGUUUUGUCUAGAAUAGAUAAGUUAAGAAAAAAGACCAUAGUAGAAAAAUGUUCACUAAAAAUACUUAAAAAGCGGAUUUGUUAGCUUUUUUCAGUGUUUUCUGUCUUUUGUUGACUUUUUAUAAAAUAUAAUUUUUUUUCCUCUAGUCACGACGAACUAAAAAAAGGAUAAAUUUUAACCAAUUAUUAAAAAAAAAUAACUAAAAACGAAAAGAUUGAGAAAAGAUGCAUGGUUUGAAUUUGUUGAAAGCUGGAGCAACAAGGGGAAAACCAUCCUCAUUAUUGUUAUGUUCUUUGGAAUGCUUAAUUUGUUAGACACCCCAAAACUAUCUUCUUUUGUCAUUUUCACAUCUUUAUUUAAAACGUGAAUCGUAUUGUGAUGCAGCAGCGCUGGAGCAUAAAAAAGAAAACAAAAAAAAAAAAGAAAUCUAAAAGAAUAAACGAUCUCGAAUUCUGGUGAUUCUAUCAACGAAGCCAAAAAUGAAAUUCUUCUCUAAAACCCGUUGAUUACAUAUAGAAUAACCGAUAUAAAGGUCUCUCAACCUGUUAAUUCACAGGCAGAAUACCGGGAAUAAAGGCAUCAACGCCUUUGUUGAUUUCCGCAAUGCCAAAGAAUUUGAAAGAAGAAAAAAGAGAACACUCUCUUUAAUCAUGCCAAUUUUUUUUAUUUAUCAAAAACUCCAUAAAAAUAAGUUACUACUUAUUUAUAAUAGACUUAAAACUAUUUGAUAAUUAUUAAAAUAUAAUCUGAUGAAUAAUAAAAUUUAAAACAAGACUCCUACAUAAUAAAAAUUCCUACAAUCUAAUUUGUUACUAAUAAAAUCUAAACCGAGACAUAACAAAAUAAGAAAUCCUAAUUAAAUAACUUUUAAAAUAAAAAGAUAACUAAUUAUAAAAUUAUAAAAUCAAGAAUUAAUGAAUAAUAAACGGAAUUUUCAUCCCUGCAUCAUAUUGACCCAUUUACCAUUAAUAUCUCACCUAUACCCAUGCUGUUAUUAAUAUAUUUGCAAUAGUGAUGAAAUUCGUCACGUAUUAAUGCCACGUAUUUCAAUUAAAAUGCGGUGGAGUGGAGGGGGGCGGAAUGAUGGUCCUGGUGGAGCGCUGCGGAACGAAGGGAGGCGCAGGGAGCAGAACGGAAGAGGCUUUAUAUUCAAAAUACCAUAAUUGAGAACCAAAGCUUAUGUGAAACCAAAUCAGAAUCUGACUGAACAAAACUGUACAAAUCUGUACAAUUCAGUUCGGAUCGGUUCAAUACAGUAGAAUGGUUCUUCUGGUUUUUGGACACCUCUAACAUAUCCAACUAACUUCUAAUUUAUAUAGGGAGUUCACCUUUUAUAAUUAUUGUAAAUAGAACUUUACGUCAUUUCUUUUACCCAAAGUAUUACAAAUGUUAUUCUUAACCAGUAAUUGCUCAUACCCAUGGAUACUAUGCAAAAAAAAAACAUCUUUUAGACUUACUUGUUAGAGUUUUAUAAUCUAAAAAACAGAUAAGAUACAAAUGUCAGAUAAAAAAUACAUUGCAUGCAUAUACAAAGAGAUACAUUGCUACAAAAUAGAAAAUAAAUUAGAAAGUACAAUGAUUUUAAAAAAAGUGUUGCUGGUUUGGACAAAACCGUAGAUGGUAUUGAUAGUUUGGAAGAGGCCGUGCCCCAAAGGCACUUGACAUUAAAAUAUUGGGUAAAUUAUAUGAUACAGUAUAGAGUCUCAUGUUGUAUUUUUACACAUCCACAUCUUAUACCACGUGGCCUUAAUUUUAUGAAAUAGGUCUAAAUCAAGCAAAUUUUAAGUUUAAAGAAAGGUAUUUUAGAUUAAAAAAAUUGAUUAAUGUAAAGUCACCAUAAUUAAACCUUUUAAUCUCAAACUAAAUAGAGAUAUAUUUGUCUACGUCACCGAACAAGGAGCGUAGGAGAAGGGUCUCUUGUCUGCUUCGCUUUCUCAGCGAAGCUCCGUCCUUCUUCAACCUUACUCUGGUGUCGGAAUAGCCUGGAUUCCGAGACUUCAAAUUCUGUCAAUGAUGGAGGCGCGACUACUGUGAGUGAGGAGUAAACAAAUAUAGAUGAGAAAAAAAUAAAGAAUUCAAAAUGGAUAAGGAAAAAAAAUUCAAGAAAAAGUUUCGUCUUUCACUGAAACAAACAAAAUCAAAUCAUGUAAAUACCAAAAAUUGAAAUGCAUGAGAAAGAAAAUCCAAAAAAAGACUGACCUUCAAAGCCUUUGAGGCAUCUGUUUUGGAUUCAUCUUUUUUCACUUGCUCUAUUUCCCAUCAUUUUGGUUUCUUCUGAUUUCAUUUACACCUGAACAAACACCACCCAAAUCACUAAAAAAUAAGUAGCAAAAAUCAAAAAAAGUCAGCACCAAAUCUAAUAAAAAAACAAAACAAAAAAAAUAAAAAAAUAAAUUGGAGAAAAGGCUCCAACAAAUGAGAAGUAUAGUAGUAAAAGGUUAAUGGACUAUGUCUGGUCUCACCUCUCUUCUAUUUAGCCAUCUUCAUCUUCUGAUUUUGUAUCACUGAGAGCCACAAAACCUGGCGAAAGACCUCUCAACUUCAAUUCCUACCAGCCCCUAGAAUUGUUUUAGGAAAGACUUGAUCAUUCCUUUGCCAUGGUCUUAUUUAUUUUAUGGCAUUUCAGUAUUACUCAUACAGAAGGGGAAAAAACAUAAAGACCGCUGAUGUCAAAUUAUUAUUUUUAUUUGCUUGAAUUUAUGUUUGUAACUAAAUUAUUUUUAGUUUUUGUAAUUUUUUUUUGUUUUUUUUUUCCUUUUCGGUUUUUGUCUUAAUAGAACAAGUUAAGAAAAAAGACCAUAUAGAAAAGUUUCACUAAAUACUCAAACACCGGAUUUGUUAGCAUUUUUGGGUCUUUUAUUUCUUUCGUUGACUUUUUAUCAAAUACAAUUUUUCAUUUUUUUUACUUCUUUGGUUUCUCUAUUCACAACGAACUAAAAGAGUAUAAAUUUUAACCAAAUAUUAAAAAAAAGUUAACUAAAAAUGAAAAGAUUAAGAAAAUAGUCCCCCCAAAAAAGCCUUGAAGCCUCAGGCCAAACGGGUAGAUAAAAUGGGAACUCUAUAUGAAAAUUGUUAUGUAAAUAUAUUAUAUUCACAAUACUUAACAACGAGUUUUAAUUAGUUCAUGAAGUGUAUCUAAAGAUUUAUAUUUGUGUAGUGCCUAUGGGAAUGUGGGGUUCUCAAUUGAGUAUAGUUCUGCAAGAGGAGAUUGAAAUCUGAUUGCUGUUGCAAAGAUACAUGGUUUCGAUUUGUUGAAAGAUGGAGCAACAAGGGAAGAAUCUGUUAGAAAAAACUAAAUAGGCUGGUAAAACCUUGUAGUUGAUUUGUCAAUGUCACAGGAGAUUUUGCUUUCCAAUGUUUUAUUAGAAAAAAGGAUGAAUUGUAAUGUAUUUAAUUUACAGAAACUUAAGUAAAUUUUGUGUUUGUAAUGUGAGAAUUUAUAUUAUGUUAAACUAAAUUGAAAUGUGAGAAUUUAUAUUAUGUUAAACUAAAUAUUCUAUUUAUUACAAUCAAAAAUCAGAAAGUAAUAUGUAAAGGAAGGUGGAAGGACGGAAAAAAAAAUUACAGAAUCGGAUUUGAAUCAAAGACUGAGGCCUGUGUUGAACACAGUUUUCUUAAAGCAGAUUUGCGCCUUCGCUACGGUGCUACGAUAACUAGACGUCUGCUUUUUAAGAUACAACAGUCUAUCACACACAACCACAACACUAUAAAAGUGUGUACAACGAACAAGAACAAUGGAGAUUAUCUCUUUAUGUGAAACUAAUCAAUAUGCAGAGUGAGAGUGAAUAUGCAGCGUGAGAGUGUGUGCUCUAUUGCGUCUGAAAUUGAGAUGAAUGAAAACCAGAGGUGUACUAGUAUUUAUAGAGGAGGUAGGGGACUGUCGGGUAAAGUUGAAAGGUUGUCAGGACCAGACACGUCCGGUCAACGCGGAGCCAUUGCAUUGAACCCAAAAGGAAUAAAAUAAAUAUAAAUAAAUAAGUUUAUAUUAAAAAGGAUAUAUAAGCAUUGGCUGACCAAGAUAUUUUACCAUUCAAGGCCCAAAGCCGACUCGAACCAGUUAGAUGGUCAUGGCGCGCGUGUGUGGAGUGAUUGAGGAAAUUUAGGUUAUUAAGUAUCCUCCCACUAUUAAAAACUUGGGUAGCCCAAUGCACUUCAAAGGCUUCCAAAAAUCAGAAUUAUAAACUAAAUUAAACUUUCUCCUUCCCACCAAGUGGGACUAGGUUCCAACCUUCUUUCUUAUAAAUACUUAACUUUCUACAUUCAAUCAAUGGGGACUAGAAUUCCAAUCCUCCAUUCUUAUCAACAACUUCAAAUAACCAUUUUUGAAGCUAAUUUUAAUUCACUUCUUAUAAUAUUUUUGGCUUAAUUUUUUCGUAAAUCUCUUCAUCAAGGUUCAAAAAUUAUGUUCAAUCAUUAAUCCAUAAAAAAUAAUUGUGGAACCCACUUUAAAUAUAGUUGUAAAGUGGCCCUUAAACCAUAAUAUUUUCAACAAUCUCCUACAUGACAAAAAUAAAAUGCAAAUCCUAAGAGAGUUUCAAUUGGGAAUUUCCUGCAUAGGAGAGAGGUAGCUUUAGGUCUUGAACCUUACCUUACGAAAUACUAUCGGAUUUUCUUAGCUAAUCAGUGGACUUGAUGCCUUGAACUAUUCAACCGUUUGUAAAAACCAUGACAAUAGCAAUCACGUAGAGUUUUCUCAACCAUUGUAGAGUUAUUUUGGUUGUGCCAUGUUUGGCUCUAGGCAAUCUUGGAUCUCAUGAGUGCUUUAGAGAAUUAGCCUUGUCAUUCUCAAAGAAGCCAUUCACACUCACUUAGUAAGAGUAUCCUGCUAUACUCUACUUGAAAUUUCAAUAUAUAAGAAACAUUAAAAGUAUAGUUUAACCUAAAGCGCAACAGGUAUCACUGAUUGAUCACAGGAAUAGGUGAGAUUUUUAAUCUUUACGGUGAUAAUUUAAGUCAUUCUUAUUUCGUUGUCCCAUUGAACUUAGUUCUUAGGAUCUCUAGUCUUCUAAGUUGGGUUUCCAUAGAGGCGACUUUUAAGAUAUACACAUAAACACAUUCCCUGGAUAACCUUUAUACUUUCUCCUUUGCAAGGGCUUUGGUUAACAGAUCCGUUAGAUUUUCUUAGACCUUUACAUAUUUCAAUGGAAAAUGAUUCCACGGACAGCAAGUGUCUUAAUGGUGGUAUGCCACGGCGGGAUAAUGCCGGACUUACCAGUAACAUAUGCUUGUGCUUACCAAUUGAUGACAAACUGUCACAAUGUAUACAAAUGGGUGGUAACAGGCUUUGGCCAUAAUGGAAUAUCUUCUAAAAAAUGACAUAACCAUUCAGCCUCUUCUCCUACUUCAUCUAAAACUAUAAAUUUUGAUUUCAUUGUAAACCUAGCAAUACACAUUUGUUUUGAUGAUUUCCAAGACACAAUAGAUUUAGAGUCUUUUGAAUCUGAUAUCCAAUUAGCAUCACAAUAUCCUUCAAGGACUACAGGAUAUCGAGUAUAACGUAAUCCAUAAUUUUGAGUAUAUCGUAAGUAUCUUAAGACCCUUACUAUAGCUACCCAAUGGUUAGCCCCAGAGUUGCUAGUAUACUUACUAAGUUUGCUAAUUGCAUAUACUAUAUCUGGUCUUGUGUAAUUCAUCAAAUACAUAAGACUCCCUGUAAUUCGGGAAUACUCCAAUUGUGAUAUGUUUUCUUCUAUAUUCUUUGUUAAAUGAACAUUUUCAUUAACAGGUGUUCUUGCAACACGCAAGACAUUCUUGUUAAAUUUCUUUAAAAUUUUCUGAAUAUAAUGAGAUUGAGAUAAAUCGUAUCCAUUAGAUGUUCUAAUAAUUUUCAUUCUUAGUAUAACAUUUGUUUUGCCCAUAUCCUUCAUGUCAAAUUUAGAAUUUAAAUUUUUUUAAUAGUUUUAAUUAUUUUAUUAUUACUACGAAUAAUUCAAGAAAUUUGUCAACGACAAACUUCUUAAUUCCAGUGUCUUCGGUUUUGUACUUUUUAUCUAAGAAUUUUCAGAGUUUCUUAGCAUUUUGUUUGGUACAAUACACACUAUAUAAUGUGUUGUCCAAACCAUUGAGGACAUAAUUUCUGCAUAGAAAAUCUGAAUGCUUCCAAACUUCCACAACAGCAACCAUUUGUUCAUCAGUUUCAUUCUCAUCAAGUGCAUGAGCAUUCUCUAUGAGAAAUCUUGCUAAAUUCAUUAUUGUCAAAUAGAAUAGCAUUUUAUGUUGCCAUCUUUUAAAAUUAGCCCCAUUGAAUUUUUUUGAUUUUUCGUCAUGGCUCAUAGGUAUUGUAGGCACACUCGGGAUAGUAGACUUAUCACCCACAUAAUUUAUUUUAUGUUUAACAAUUAGAAUAACAGAAUAAAAGUUCUAUCUGUAAUACAAUAAGAAAUUAAAUACAAAGAUACCAAUCGGCUUUAAGAUUGUUUGAAAUGUGAGAAUUUAUAUUUUGUUAAACUAAAUAUUCUGUUUAUUACAAUUAAAAAUCGAAAAGUAAUAUGUAAAGAAAACUAGAAGAAUUAAAAAAAACAUACAGAACUGAAUUUGAAUCAAAGACUGAGGCCUGCGUUGAAUACAGUUUUUUUAAAGCAGAUUUGUGCCUUCGCUAUUGUGCUACGAUCAUUGGACGUCUACUUCCCAAGAUACAACAGUCUAUCAUACACAAUUACAACACUAUAACAGUGUGUACAGUGAACAAGAACAAUGAAGAUUCUCUCUUUAUGCGAAACUAAUCAAUAUGCAGAGUACAGAGUGAGAGUGUGUGCUCUUUUGCAUCUGAAAUGGAAUGACUGAAAAAUUCAUGGGUGUACUGGCAUUUAUAGAGGAGUGGGGAUUGUUCGGCUGAAGUGAAAGGUUGCCAGAACCAGACGCGUCCGGUCAACGCGAACCGGUGCAACCAAUAACGGUCGACCCGCGAACCGUUUUGCUGAACCCUAAAGGAAUAAAAUAAAUAAAUUUUAUAUAUAAGUCAUGGGCUGGCCCAAUAUCUAUUUACCAUCAAGCCCAAGUCUGGUCCAGUCGAUCAGCGGUGCGCAUGUGUGUAGGGUGUAUUGAGAAACUUAGGUUAUCUAAGUCUCCUCCCCGUUAACAAUUUGGGUAUGUCCAAGGGCACAUCUUAGGUUUCCAAACUCAAGGUUUAUAAACCACUUAGCUUUCUCCUUCCCAACUAAUGUGGGACUAGGUUCCAUUUCCUUCUUUUAACAAUUUCAACUAACCAUUUUGAAGCUAAUUUUAAUUCACUUCUUGUAAUAUUUUUAGCUUAAUUUUUUCAUAGAUCUCUUCACUAAGAUCCAAAGAUUAGAAAAUGCGUAACUUUACUCUUUGAAAAGCCUAAGCUAAUAGAAAAUACGUAACUUUACUCUUAAUUUUCUCAAUAUUUCCGUGCAAGUGUGAACAGACUUUCUUUCAUAAGAAAACAAAACAUGAAAAUUUGAUUUUUUAAAUUGUCUUUUAAGGGUGAGAAUUCAACUAGAAUAAGCCUUUAUUCUCGAACGUUUUAUAAUUACUGUUUAUAAAAAGAUGUAUAACUAAAUUACCAAACUGCUCGUUUAAAACUGGAGGAUUGGGAUGGGAUAACUUUUAGGGUGAAUAACUUUUUAAAGGGAUAAUUUUUAAAACUCUGUUUGGAUUACUUUUUAAGAAUGGUGGAUAAAGGGUUGGGGGUAGGAAGAAAAUAUAUAUAGCGAAACAAAAUAUAAACAUAUUUAGAUAUUAAAAAUAUAUCUUUUUAUUUCUCUCUAUAUAAUAAAAAAAAUUAUAUACAUUUGGGGGUUUCUCUUUAUUAGUUUUUUUCCUUAUCCCCCACUCCCUAUCCCCCGGAUAACUUUUAGUUAAAUUCUAGGGUCUCCAAUAAAAAUUUAUCCGCCUCUAUCCACCUGGUGGAUGAUAAAUUAUCCGGGCAUAAAGUUAUCCGCCUCCAUAUCAGCCAGCCAAAAUCCCGGAGAAAAAAAAAUUAUCUAGGGAAAAAGUAUCCCCCCCAUCAUCCUAUCCCCCUCCAAAUCCGCCAGACAUGCCCUUAUGUUCUAAUUCUAACCCCGUUCAAAGAGGAAUGAUUCAGCUCUAAGAAUUGAUUGAUCCAAAAGAAGGUGAUAAUGAUGUCCUUAACUAUUUAAUUAUAUCACCUACGUCUUUUCUGUUACUAAUUUAUUUAAAAUAGUGAUGAAAAUCGAUCACGUGUUGUUUACAUUCUUCAAUUAAAUACCCUUAUAUUCAAAAUACUAUUUUUUUUAAAAAUAAAUCAAUACUCCAUAUAUAGGCUUAUACAGCCAUUGUAGAAAUAAGCCUAACCCUUAUUAAUAAGACUUUAUACAGAGCGUUGACUUAUUUUUCGUAAAAAAAUAAGAAUAUUUUGAACAUAAAAGCAAUAAUUGAAGUACAUGGAUAACAUAUGAUCGAUUUUGUCAUCACUAUUUUACAUGAAUUAGUAAUGAAAGGGUAUAAGUGAUAGUUAAGGGGUUAAUAUAAUUUAAUUUUUAAAUAAGGGAGUAAAAAUGAUAAAUGACGAUAGUUUGGAGGCUGUUUGAGAAAUUAAUUCUUGGCCCAUAAUUAUGGACACUUCUGUCGAUAAGUUUCUUCAGUUUUUUAAUUUUUUUAUUUUGUAAUGAAUAAUUAUUAUUUGUAUGUAUUUUUUCAGAUUUUUAGUUAUUACGUAGCAUCUCAAAUUUCUAUUUUUCAACAUGUUUGAGUUAAAAAAAGGUUUAUUAUGGUACCACUUUACUGUCUAUAUUUCCCUUUAUUACCAACUAACAAAUUUUCAUCCUAUUCCAACAUUUCCCUCUCCUUUCUCCUUUUACUUCUCGCUCUCCUUUUCUUCUUCUUCUUCCUCUUCUCUCUUUAAAUUAACUAUAAAAGACUCCAAAAAAAGUGGGUUUUAAAAUGGUUUGCAGGUAAAAAAGAGCAUUAAAGAGAUCAAAAGACUCCGAAAAAAAUUCAACUGAUUGAGCCUUAAAGCUCAACCGGUUGAAAAAAAUCAGAGGUCAAACCAGAGUUUAUAAGACUUCUGACCCUUUUAAUUUGGGAAGAGUUUUUUGAGGAUUGGAGACACUUUUCAUGUUUAGUUAGUUUUUAUUAGAUUAGAUAGUUUUUAAAUUUUAUAUUUGUAUUUUUCGAAUUCCAUUUAUUCGAUUAAUAGUGGUAAGUUUUCUUAUUUAAUUUUGCACUUUCCAGUAAUGCUAUUUUCUUUUCAGCUCUUUCUUAAUUUCAUGUUAGUUUCUCUUUCUUUAAUUAGCUUACCAUGCACAUAAGAUAGAACCCUCAAUACACCCAGGGAGGGCUAAAUUUAUUAGUUUGGUUCAAAAACUAUAUCCCCUUUCAAAUUUUAAUUUGAACUAGUUUCUUCUCUCUUUCAAUAAGGUUUUAAUGGUUGUUUAUGAUUAAUUAACGAUAUUUUUAAGAUCAAAACUUGAAAUUGUAUACAUUUUUGAUUAUUUGUGAACAAGAUUAGUUGGUACAAGUAAUACUUAGAUCUAUUACAUUAUAAGUGCUUCAAAUAGUAUAUGAACAUCUAAGUUAGAAGAAGAUUAGAAGAAGACUAGGUACUUGAACCAUGUUAUUUUUACAAUUGUAGUUUACUCUUCAUUUCAUAAUCUUUCAAAAAUCACAAAAAUAUGUUUUUAUAAUUUCUACUCUUGCAACAAAACUCAAUUUUGCAAUUCAAUCUCUCUGUGAAAAAUGACUUUGAUACUUCCAAGUAAUAUGCUGCAUUUGUAGUUUCUACGCUUAAAAAUUAAACUAGGUAGAUAAAAUAAACAUCAAAAAAUGACAAGCACAUAUAUAUUCCAUGCAACCCCUCAGCUUGGCUAUAGCCACGAGUUCUCAACCAGCCUUCACUUUGGCAAUUGCCAUAAGCUGUCUCGAAUACCAUAUGCCUCCAAUAUUUUGGAGCAAGUUUGAGUUACCACAAUUGGUUUCUUCGUCCAAAAAGUCAGGUUAGAUU